rnacentral:rRNA from 1 species
GACAGAGGCCCCGAGCGUUAUCCGGAAUCACUGGGCUUAAAGCGUGUGUAGGCGGGCCCGUAAGUGUCCUGUGAAAUCCCACGGCUCAACCGUGGAACUGCUGGGCAUACUGCGGGUCUUGGGCCAACUAGGGGCAGCCGGAACAAGCGGUGGAGCGGUGAAAUGCGUAGAUAUCGCUUGGAACGCCGAAGGUGAAAACAGGCUGCUGGGGUUGCGCCGACGCUGAGACACGAAAGCCAGGGGAGCAAACGGG